GUGGGCGCUGGAGAACUGAGGGGGGCUGCUCCUAGUACGAGAGGACCGGAGUGGACGCAUCACUGGUGUUCGGGUUGUCAUGCCAAUGGCACUGCCCGGUAGCUAAAUGCGGAAGAGAUAAGUGCUGAAAGCAUCUAAGCACGAAACUUGCCCCGAGAUGAGUUCUCCCUGACUCCUUGAGAGUCCUGAAGGAACGUUGAAGACGACGACGUUGAUAGGCCGGGUGUGUAAGCGCAGCGAUGCGUUGAGCUAACCGGUACUAAUGAACCGUGAGGCUUAACCUUACAACGCCGAAG
rnacentral:rRNA from 1 species